GACCUACUAAUAGUGCCCACCUCAGGGGGUGCUGAAGGAACAAAACAGUGGAUUUCUACACUGUAGUGGAUUUCAACAAAGCAUGUCAGGUAGUCUGGCACACAGCAGGAGCUAAAUGAACAUGACUGUGAUGACCAAGCGUCUCUGAACACAUGGUAAGUGUUGUGGUGAAUCCUCCUCAGGACCCUCUUCAGAGGUGAGCAGCAGUGGCUUUCCUGACUCCCUCUUCCCAGGGGCCACAUGGUAGUCAUUUCAGGCCCUCUGUCCAAGGGCCCACUGAGCUGAAUGACCAACCCUUCCCUUCUCCCGCAUACCCUGAGGAAGGGAGAUACACUUCAGUGCCUCACCCCCAGCCCUGCCUGUAAGGCAUCAUGGUGUGG
rnacentral:lncRNA from 1 species